AGUUUCCUGCACGGGAUCCGGCGGCGGCCCUGGGCAAAUGGGCGGCCGAGAUCAGAGACCCUAGCAAGGGCGUCCGCGUCUGGCUCGGCACUUACAGCACCGUACGACGCCGAGGCUCGCAGGAUACGCGGGAAGAAAGCCAAGGUCAAUUUCCGGGAUGAAGCGGCGGCAGCAGGUGCUCAGAAGCCAGCCGCAACCGCAACUACUCCAACUGCUUGUGCCAGCGCAGCGAGGCUAGGUCCUCCACCGCCGAAGUUCCGUGCUGACGAGGUUUUCGGGAACAUGAACGGUGGCAGC
rnacentral:misc_RNA from 1 species